rnacentral:rRNA from 1 species
GUGCCAGCAGCCGCGGUAAUACGGGGGGUGCAAGCGUUGUUCGGAAUCAUUGGGCGUAAAGCGCGUGUAGGCGGCUUGGUAAGUCAGGUGUGAAAGCCCUGGGCUCAACCCAGGAAGUGCACUUGAAACUGCCUUGCUUGAGUACGGGAGAGGAAAGCGGAAUUCCUGGUGUAGAGGUGAAAUUCGUAGAUAUCAGGAGGAACACCGGUGGCGAAGGCGGCUUUCUGGCCCAAUACUGACGCUGAGACGCGAAAGAGGGGGGAGCAAACAGGAUUAGAGACCGUAGUGGUCCUGGCUGUAA